rnacentral:rRNA from 1 species
UACAGGGGGGGGCAAGCGUUGUUCGGAUUUACUGGGCGUAAAGGGCGCGUAGGCGGUCGUGACAAGUCACUUGUGAAAUCUCCGGGCUUAACUCGGAACGGUCAAGUGAUACUGUCGGACUAGAGUACAGAAGGGGCAACUGGAAUUCUCGGUGUAGCGGUGAAAUGCGUAGAUAUCGAGAGGAACACCUGCGGCGAAGGCGGGUUGCUGGGCUGAUACUGACGCUGAGGCGCGAAAGCUAGGGGAGCGAACGGG